rnacentral:lncRNA from 1 species
GUCGCCCAGGCUGGAGUGCAGAGGCGCGAUCUCGGCUCACUGCAAGCUCCGCCCCCGCGGGUUCACGCCAUUCUCCCGCCUCAGCCUCCGGAGCAGCUGGGAUUACAGGCGCCCGCCAUCACGCCCAGGUUCUCCUUCUCUCCUCUAUCCUGCCACUUUGUGAAGAAGGUGCUUGCUUCUCCUUCACCUUCCACCAUGAUUGUAAGUUUCCUGAGGCCUCCCCAGCCAUGUGGAACUAGGUGACAUUUUUCCAACGCCUGAAUGAAUGAUGAGAAGGAGCCAAACAUGAAAUUCUCUGGGGAAACAGCAUUUUCUUGAGCAGGAAGAAUACGUUCAAACUUCUGUGGCAAAGGAGAUAAGGUCAAAAUGAAAAAUAGAAUAUAAAAACUUCUCUACUCCUGACUCACCAACGCACCAGAACAACUUUUAGUCCUGCAAUCAUGACCAUCCUUCCUUCUCUAAUAUUCUGACCACAUGUAUCAGUAUUCAGAAAAAAGCAAGAGCUUCUUCUCGCAGGCGGGAUUGCCAUUGAAGAGGAUGUCAAGAAAGAUGAGUCACUGUUAGGAUUGAUUCAUGAUACUUUAUUGCCAAGCUGCAUUUGCUGAUAGAGUCAUCUAUAUCCUGGUAUCCAUGGAACACAGUGGAAGGGAAAUCUGUCCUUGUCAUUACCUGGCCACAGGCCUCUUUUAAAAGAUACUAGAAAAUUAAUUAGACUGCAAAUUCACCCAUAAAAUUAAAGUAAAAGCUACCUGGGCUCAGGGCUCUGAAAGAGGAUAACUUAUUUGGAUUAGAAAAUUUGUCAUGUUGAGCUCAAGUAGCAUUAAUUUGUUUAGAAGAGAUAAUGAUAUUUCAUUAUUAUUCCCAACCCUGAAGUUAGUCAAGAAAUAACUAAAAUAAAUACCUUGUAAAUACUGACUACACAUAAUACUUAUACUCUAUAGCAACAUGGCCACACUCAGUAAUCUUGACAAGUUUAGGAAAGCAUUUAAAUAAAAUAAAACUUGAGCCAGAUAAACUCUGGAAGAUCUUUAAAAUUAAAUAUAAUAGUUACUGGGUAAAGCGAAUGGAAAACUAGAUCAGAAAUAGAAAUUGUGCCUUACUCUUAUAAUUUCAACCAUGACAAUAUAAAUAAAUAGUAUGCUGUUAAAAAAUAAUUUGACCAUUGGGAGCAUUUAAGAUUUCUACAUGCUUUACCUAUUUUACAGAGAGAAUAAAUUUUUAAAGAAGGCAGAACACGAAGACAUUUCUUUUUACCUCAAAACUAUUCCUUAUUUCUGACUGUUGAGCAAUAUGGUUUUCCUGAAAUGAUAGAAACAAAUUUUAUACAGUUGAGAAUAGAGUAACUGAAAGAUUCCCAACCAUUUUGCUGAAGGAAGUAAAUGACUU